rnacentral:rRNA from 1 species
GACGAACGCUGGCGGCGUGCUUAACACAUGCAAGUCGAACGGAAAGGCCCUGCUUUUGUGGGGUGCUCGAGUGGCGAACGGGUGAGUAACACGUGAGUAACCUGCCCUUGACUUUGGGAUAACUUCAGGAAACUGGGGCUAAUACCGGAUAGGAGCUCCUGCUGCAUGGUGGGGGUUGGAAAGUUUCGGCGGUUGGGGAUGGGCUCGCGGCUUAUCAGCUUGUUGGUGGGGUAGUGGCUUACCAAGGCUUUGACGGGUAGCCGGCCUGAGAGGGUGACCGGCGACAUUGGGACUGAGAGACGGCCCAGACUCCUACGGGCGGCAGCAGUGGGGAAUAUUGCACAAUGGGCGGAAGCCUGAUGCAGCAACGCCGCGUGCGGGAUGACGGCCUUCGGGUUGUAAACCGCUUUCGCCUGUGACGAAGCGUGAGUGACGGUAAUGGGUAAAGAAGCACCGGCUAACUACGUG